GCGGCUUAAUUUGACUCAACACGGGAAAACUUACCUGGUCCAGACAUAGUAAGGAUUGACAGACUCAGAGUUCUUUCGAAAAUCGAAAAUGUAAAUUAAAACUGAAAAAGCGUACAGAAAUAAACCAGGGCAUAC
rnacentral:ncRNA from 1 species